rnacentral:rRNA from 1 species
GUAGGUGGCAAGCGUUGUCCGGAAUUAUUGAGCGUAAAGCGCGCGCAGGCGGUUCUUUAAGUCUGAUGUGAAAGCCCACGGGCUCAACCGUGGAGGGUCAUUGGGAACUGGAGAACUUGAGUACAGAAGAGGAAAGCGGAAUUCCACGUGUAGCGGUGAAAUGCGUAGAGAUGUGGAGGAACACCAGUGGCGAAGGCGGCUUUCUGGUCUGUAACUGACGCUGAGGCGCGAAAGCGUGGGGAGCAAACAGGAUUAGAUACCCUGGUAGUCCACGCCGUAAACGAUGAGUGCUAAGUGUUAGGGGGUUUCCGCCCCUUAGUGCUGCAGCUAACGCAUUAAGCACUCCGCCUGGGGAGUACGGCCGCAAGGCUG